CGCUACUCUUCAGAUAUUAAAUUACAAAUGCCAAUCUUGGAGGCUUUGCCUGAAUUGUGAGGUAGCAUCAACAUCGCGAUCAUCACAUCCUAUUCCAGCAUCCAAGCGCAUGGCCAGCUCUCGCCAUUCUGUUUGUUUAGUUGGCAGUUCCAGACAGCGCUCUGCUGGCUCCAAGAAGUCUUUUUCGUGAAGUUAUCGACAGGCCACGUCAAAUGGCACCGAACACCUCGCAGUCCGAAUGACCUCGACUCCGCAACUGAAGAGCCUGAACUGCCGCCUACCACAACGAGCUCAAAAGCGGACAUCAUUGAUGACCUGCUAGGCUGCAGUGUGCCGAUUCCU
rnacentral:lncRNA from 1 species